rnacentral:misc_RNA from 1 species
GGGAAUGGUACUUUUUCUGUUUGAGGGAUAGAAAGUAUCCAACUGGAUUGAGAACAAACAGAGCCACUGAAUCAGGGUAUUGGAAAGCCACUGGGAAAGAUAAAGAGAUUUAUAGAGGAAAAACGCUUGUGGGUAUGAAGAAAACUCUUGUUUUCUAUGGGGGAAGAGCUCCAAAAGGUGAGAAAUCCAAUUGGGUUAUGCAUGAAUUCAGAUUAGAAGGGAAACCCUCUGCCAUUAAUCUCCCUAAUACUGCAAAGAAUGAAUGGGUGAUUUCUAGGGUGUUUCAGAAGAGCUGUGGAGGGAAAAAAGUUCACAUUUCUGGGUUAGUUAAAUUGGGUUCUUGUUCUUCUGCUUUGCCGCCAUUGAAGGAUUCCUCUUCUUCUUCAUCAUCAUUCAAGAUCAAACCAGUUCCUGAAUUAACUCACGUGCCCUGC